rnacentral:rRNA from 1 species
AGUAACGCGUGAGGAAUCUGCCUCGCACAAGGGGAUAGCCUCGGGAAACCGGGAUUAAUACCCUAUGAUACGUACACUGCGCAUGCAGAGUAAGUUAAAGAAUAUCGGUGUGAGAUGACCUCGCGUCCCAUUAGCUAGUUGGCAGGGUAAAAGCCUACCAAGGCGACGAUGGGUAGCCGGCCUGAGAGGGUGAACGGCCACAUUGGAACUGAGACACGGUCCAGACUCCUACGGGAGGCAGCAGUGGGGAAUAUUGCACAAUGGAGGGAACUCUGAUGCAGCAACGCCGCGUGAGCGAAGAAGGUUUUAGGAUCGUAAAGCUCUGUCCUAGGGGAAGAUAAUGACGGUACCCGAGGAGGAAGCCCCGGCUAACUACGUGCCAGCAGCCGCGGUAAUACGUAGGGGGCGAGCGUUGUCCGGAAUUAUUGGGCGUAAAGGGUGCGUAGGCGGCUGAACAAGUCAGAUGUGAAAGGUUAAGGCUUAACUUUAAUAAGCAUAUGAAACUGUUCAGCUUGAGUUAAGGAGAGGGGAGUG